UCUCUCCCUCACAGUCCCUUCCAAACUCAAGGCAAUGCACAGUUCUGUUUGCCCCAAGUCUUCCAGAUUUUUCCUCUUCCGAAAUCUCGUCCCCCAUUUUUUAUUUUUAUUUUUCCCCUCAAUUUCCAGCAUUAUUAUCGAGAAUUUAUUGGUUUCCAAAAAAAGAGGAAGGAGCGGAGCAAUGGUGAUGCAAGAAAAGGGAAAAUAAAAAACAUAAAAAAUGAAGAUUAGGAUGUGGUCAUUGGUCGUGACUCGUGAUGAUGAUCAUGUUGUCAUCGAGAUAAGGAGAACGUUAUGGCACAGAUGCUGACAUAGCAUCCAAGAACCGCAAAUCGAGGAAGUUUGUUUUUUGUUCCAAGUGUGUCAGCGGAUAUAAAUAGAAAUGGCAAUGGCAUCUCUGAUUCAAGCAGGAUGCGGUUAUUCGCCGAUAUUCAGUAAUAAUAGUAAUAAUUGUAGUUUCAGAACCGGAUCCUUUGGACCCUUCGGCUGCUCCUCACCUUCCUCUUCUUGCACCUGUUCUUCUUCUUCUCACAAUUUGGAUUUCCGUUCCGGAACAAAUAAUAAUUGGAAACAUCAAGGCCAUAGAGCUCAAGCUAUGAGUACUGCUACUCAAGGAAACUUUGCUUCAUCCAAGAGCAUUUCGAACGGGAAAAAUGAACCUGAUCACCUUCUUGUUCUUGUUCACGGCAUCUUAGCUAGCCCUAGUGAUUGGACGUAUGUAGAGGCAGAGUUGAAAAGGCGGCUUGGAAGAAACUUUCUGAUUUAUGCAAGUUCAUGUAAUACCUAUACUAAAACCUUGACUGGGGUUGAUGGAGCUGGAAAGCGCUUAGCAGAUGAAGUUCUGCAAGUUGUAAAGAAGACUGAAAGCUUGAAAAAGAUUUCAUUUUUAGCCCAUUCUCUUGGGGGCUUGUUUGCAAGAUAUGCAGUUGCUGUUCUUUACACAGAAAAUGACUCAAGUGGCACCCAGUCUGAUAAGGUAACUGAUUCUUCAGAGGGAAAUUUACAAACAUCACGCCCUUCAAGACGAGGUACGAUUGCUGGACUGGAGGCAGUCAGUUUUAUUACCUUGGCAACUCCACAUCUUGGGGUGAGAGGGAGAAAGCAGCUUCCAUUUCUCUUAGGAGUUCCUAUUUUAGAGAAACUUGCCCCACCAAUUGCUCCAUUUUUUGUUGGUCGAACUGGUAAACAACUAUUUCUAACUGAUGGCAAGCCCAACAGACCGCCACUGCUUUUGAGGAUGGCAUCUGAUUGUGAGGAUGGGAAAUUCUUGUACGUAAAGCAAGCUUUUAUAGUGACUGAAGAAGCUUGCUUUUGUUCAGAUUUUAUUAUUAUUAUUACAUAUUUUUUUAUGCAAAUGAGGAAGUCCAAAGAGGAAGAUCUGCCCUUGGUGCAUUUAGGUGCCGCAUUGCCUAUGCAAAUGUAUCUUAUGAUCAUAUGGUUGGCUGGCGCACAUCCUCCAUCAGGCGGGAGAAAGAACUUGUUAAGCCCCCACUACGAUCUUUGGAUGGUUACAAACAUGUUGUGGAUGUGGACUACUGUCCACCAGUUUCUUCUGAUGGCCCCAGUUUUCCUCCCGAAGCUGCCAAAGCAAAGGAGGCAGCACAGAAUGCACCUAACGUACAAAACACAGUCGAAUAUCAUGAACUCAUGGAAGAGGAAAUGAUACAAGGUUUACAGAAAUUGGGAUGGAAAAAAGUUGAUGUCAGCUUUCAUUCCGCACUCUGGCCCUUUUUCGCCCACAAUAACAUCCAUGUAAAAAACGAAUGGUUUCAUAAUGCCGGCGCUGGAGUAGUUGCUCAUGUUGCUGACAGCCUUAAGCAACAAGAAUCCUCUUCCCCAUUUAUUUCUGCUAGCUUGUAGCCACGAAAUGUAUGUAAGUGCACUGUGCCAGUGCGCCUGAAGCAUAUUGUAAAACAAAUUACACAAGAUGAAAUGAAGAAAAUGAAAGAUCUCUUAUCACGUACUGAUAUAAAUCCCAUUUCCGUAGGAUUUCUUUACGAACAUUAAGUGGCAUUUGCAUGCUAGCCUAUAGCCACCUGUUAACACAGGAUUCUUUA